AUGGGGAAGCCGCGGGCGAUGGUGGCCCUCGCGGCCGCGCUCGCGCUGCUCCUCUCCUGCUCCGGCGUCGUCGUCAGGGGCCAGGACACCGAGAGGAUCGAAGGGAGUGCUGGUGAUGUUCUGGAGGAUGAUCCCGUCGGGAGGCUGAAGGUGUACGUCUACGAGCUGCCCACCAAGUACAACAAGAAGAUGGUGGCCAAGGACUCCAGGUGCCUCAGCCACAUGUUUGCCGCCGAGAUAUUCAUGCACCGGUUCCUGCUGUCGAGCGCGAUCCGGACGAUGAACCCGGAGGAGGCCGACUGGUUCUACACCCCGGUGUACACGACCUGUGACCUUACUCCAUGGGGUCAUCCGUUGCCCUUCAAAUCCCCGCGGAUCAUGAGGAGUGCGGUUCAGUUCAUCUCCUCGCACUGGCCCUAUUGGAACCGGACGGCCGGUGCUGAUCAUUUCUUCGUCGUGCCACAUGACUUUGGGGCAUGCUUCCAUUAUCAGGAAGAGAAGGCGAUCGAAAGGGGGAUCCUUCCAUUGCUUCGCCGCGCUACACUUGUCCAGACAUUUGGGCAGAAGGAUCAUGUCUGCCUAAAGGAGGGCUCAAUCAACAUCCCACCAUAUGCUCCUCCCCAGAAAAUGAAAACUCACCUUGUACCCCCAGAGACCCCGCGCUCCAUCUUUGUCUAUUUCCGUGGUUUGUUCUACGAUACGGCAAAUGAUCCCGAGGGUGGUUACUAUGCAAGAGGCGCCCGUGCGUCGGUGUGGGAGAACUUCAAGAACAACCCUCUGUUCGACAUCUCGACGGACCACCCACCCACCUACUAUGAGGACAUGCAGCGUGCCAUCUUCUGCCUGUGCCCGCUGGGCUGGGCCCCGUGGAGCCCCCGUCUCGUUGAGGCCGUGGUGUUCGGGUGCAUCCCGGUGAUCAUCGCGGACGACAUUGUCCUGCCCUUCGCGGACGCCAUCCCGUGGGACGAGAUCGGCGUGUUCGUGGCGGAGGACGAUGUCCCCAAGCUUGACACCAUCCUGACCUCCAUCCCGAUGGAGGUGAUCCUACGGAAGCAGAGGCUGCUGGCGAACCCGUCGAUGAAGCAGGCCAUGCUUUUCCCGCAGCCGGCCCAGCCCGGGGACGCCUUCCACCAGAUCCUGAACGGCCUGGCGCGGAAGCUCCCGCACAGCAAGAGCGUGUACCUGACCCCGGGGCAGAAGGCGCUGAACUGGACCCAGGGCCCCAAGGGCGACCUGAAGCCAUGGUAG
rnacentral:rRNA from 1 species